rnacentral:lncRNA from 1 species
UUAGAUUAAAAAAUAUUUUAAUCUUCUAUUCUACUAUGUUAUUUAAAAAGAAAAUAAAAUAUACAUACAUAUCUCGACAUAAAAUUCUAACACUGACCAAGCUGUUAAGCCAAUAAAAGACUGAAGCUCACCUGAGAAGAUGGAGUUUAAGUUUAUGGCCAAUUGACUUUAGGUCAAGUGAGAGUUUGUUAGAUAUAUAUUCUAGAAGCC